rnacentral:rRNA from 1 species
CAAUGGGCGAAAGCCUGAUGCAGCAACKCCGCGUGAGGGAUGACGGCCUUCGGGUUGUAAACCUCUUUUAGCAGGGAAGAAGSGAAAGUGACGGUACCUGCAGAAAAAGCGCCGGCUAACUACGUGCCAGCAGCCGCGGUWAUACGUAGGGCGCAAGCGUUAUCCGGAAUUAUUGGGCGUAAAGAGCUCGUAGGCGGUUUGUCGMGUYUGCUGUGAAAUCCCGAGGCUCAACCUCGGGUCUGCAGUGGGUACGGGCAGAMUAGAGUGCGGUAGGGGAGAUUGGAAUUCCUGGUGUAGCGGUGGAAUGCGCAGAUAUCAGGAGGAACMCCGAUGGCGAAGGCAGAUCUYUGGGCCGUUACUGACSCUGAGGAGCGAAAGGGUGGGGAGCAAACMGGCUUAGAUACCCUGGUAGUCCACCCCGUAAACRWUGGGAACUAGUUGUGGGGUCCAUUCCACGGAUUCCGUGACGCAGCUAACGCAUUAAGUCCCCGCUGGA